rnacentral:rRNA from 1 species
GACGAACGCUGGCGGCGUUCUUAACACAUGCAAGUCGAACGGAAAGGCCCUGCUUUUGUGGGGUGCUCGAGUGGCGAACGGUUGAGUAACACGUGAGUAACCUGCCCUUGACUUUGGGAUAACUUCAGGAAACUGGGGCUAAUACCGGAUAGGAGCUCCUGCUGCAUGGUGGGGGUUGGAAAGUUUCGGCGGUUGGGGAUGGACUCGCGGCUUAUCAGCUUGUUGGUGGGGUAGUGGCUUACCAAGGCUUUGACGGGUAGCCGGCCUGAGAGGGUGACCGGCCACAUUGGGACUGAGAUACGGCCCAGACUCCUACGGGAGGCAGCAGUGGGGAAUAUUGCACAAUGGGCGGAAGCCUGAUGCAGCAACGCCGCGUGCGGGAUGACGGCCUUCGGGUUGUAAACCGCUUUCGCCUGUGACGAAGCGUGAGUGACGGUAAUGGGUAAAGAAGCACCGGCUAACUACGUG